rnacentral:lncRNA from 1 species
CUACUUAGAAUGGCUACUGUGAGACUGAACUUCAAUUCGAAAGUAGAGCUUCAAUUACAAUGCACCAAAGCAGAGCUUCAAUAAAAUGAUAGAAUAAUGGUUAUAAAUAGAGAAAUUAUAUAUGAAAUUAGAGGAGAAAUGAAAAGGUCGCACCAAAAUUUUGAUCUCAAGCGGAGGAGAUCGCGAGGGAUGCUGCUACGACGAUGUCGGAGAGUUUUGAGCUCGGAUCAAUCUCUCUCUGGGGAUUAAAUUGAAGUUCGGAGCUCAGAGUUUGAGAUGAGAGAUUCAAAUCGGAGGAGCUCAGGUGAAGGAAACCACAAAUUCACAAAUUCAAAUCGGAGGAGUUUGCUGUUUUUCGAGUGUGAUGGUGAAUUGCUGGAACUAAGCUGAAGCUUUUUGUGCUCUCCAAUGUCACGCUGGAACUAACU